GACGAGAAGAGAUGGAGGGUGCAACAGGGAACAGAAAGGAACUGGACAAAGCCAGAUAAAAAAAUCCCAAUAUAAUGUCCAUUGUGGGACUUUUUUUUAACUUAUUGAUUAAAUGUUAAGUUUAAUACCAAUAUUAUAUUAGGAUUUUUUAUCGGGAUUUAUCCAGUUCCUUUCGGUUCCCUGUUGCACCCUCCAUCUCUUCUCUUUU